AUUGAACGCUGGCGGCAGGCCUAACACAUGCAAGUCGAGCGGAUGAAGGGAGCUUGCUCCUGGAUUCAGCGGCGGACGGGUGAGUAAUGCCUAGGAAUCUGCCUGGUAGUGGGGGAUAACGUCUGGAAACGGGCGCUAAUACCGCAUACGUCCUGAGGGAGAAAGAGGGGGAUCUUCGGACCUCACGCUAUCAGAUGAGCCUAGGUCGGAUUAGCUAGUUGGUGGGGUAAAGGCCUACCAAGGCGACGAUCCGUAACUGGUCUGAGAGGAUGAUCAGUCACACGAGAACGUGGACACGGUCAUGGCUCCUAAGGGACGGAGCAGUGGGGAAUGGUAGACAAUAGGCGAAAAUAUGGCACAGUCGGGGCGAGUGUGAUGAGAAGGUCUUCGGAUUGUAAAGCACUUUUACUGGUGAUGAAGGGCAGUAGGUUAAUACGUAGCUGUUUUGACGUUACCAACAGAAGAAGCACCGGCUAACUACGUG
rnacentral:rRNA from 1 species